CUCUCAGGAUCUAGAUCCGGUUCUAGUGGGGGUCAGCCACUGGAGGUAAGGGGGAAAGUUCACGGUGCAAGUCCGUCGCUGUCCCGCAGCUGUAAGCCUGUUGAGAAUAUAGAGUGAUUAAAAUCCCGAAUUCAAAAACUGUGUAAGCCAGAAUGCCCGCCGAAUUUUGAGUCGAAUA
rnacentral:ncRNA from 2 species